GGCGAGAAUGAAUUGGACCGAUAUUUUUCGUUCACUGCCGUCAACGGUUCCAAAGGCAUCGCAGGCACCUACCGGGUCUUGCAUUGUUCCCAAAAUAUCCAGAGCAAGUGACCCGGCACCAAAAACACGAAAAAAAAAUUACAAUUGCCCUGCCAAGAUCACAUUCAACCUUAAGAUGAUAUGUUUGUGCAAUGAUUAGCAAUCAGAUUGGUGUGACACUGCUAAACAAGUUCUUGUUUAUGGUUGCCUUAAGCAUUCACAUGCCUUUGAACGAAAGAACAUACGCCUCUCAAAAGUGAUGAAAAAUGAAACUAUGGAGCUCCUCAAAUUUGGGAUUCGUUCAGAUGUUGUUAUUGACAAAUAUUUGUCAAGUAAUGAUAUGGACAAGGAUAGCAAACCUGUCACUUACGCCGAUGUUCAUCGCAUUAAAAAGUCCAGCAACUUGGAGGGUUACGACGAAAAUGCUUCUGAAGUCAAAAAUGUGUUAUCAUUGAUGAGCGACGAAGGUUUUCGCGGUUUCAACUUUGGGCGGAAGUUUGUCAUGUCAUUAACUCCGGGAGACGUCGAAGCUAAAAUUACCGAAACAUUUGGAUAUUUCCUCCUGACUUACGCCAGCCCAGAAAUGAUCAAGCGUUUCCAUGAUCAUCCUACUGCCAUUUCAAUCGAUGGAACUCAUGCAACGAAUGUGGUCAACUUCAUCUUGAUCUCAAUCAUAAUAUUUGAUUGUCGUGGAGAGGGAAGCCCUGUCUUUCAGGCCUUGGUCGAAAAUGAGAACCAGGUGUUUUUUUCCGUUACGCUGAAGAUCGUCCAACAUAUCGCCCCAACAGCUUGUAUGAAUGUCAAAACACUUCUCAGCGACACCAGCCGCACAUUCGUAAACUCCUGGAGAGAGGUGAUCAACCCAAAUGUGCUUUGGAGUGUUUGCCAUUGGCACCUCGAAAAGAACUGGACCAAGAGGAUUAAAAACCCGGAGAUGUUACAAGACAUUAAAGGUCUUCGGCAUUUGGCCGAGGUUCGUCCUUUUACUCAAAACAUGCUGCACAUUCGAUCAAAAUAGGAAGCUUCUGAAGAAAGUACGUGGGCUUACUUUGUAACGAACUAUGGGCCACCCUGGGAACCCCAUCUCACAAGCUACAUGUUGAGCGGUACCACCGAACCAUCAAAGGGGUGUUAAAACCCAGUAUAAACAUUGCCCGCUUUUGCAUUGGACUGAAGCAUGUAAACAAGAUCUUCGUCCGGAAAGAUCUCGUUGCAAAAGAGGGGAUGCGGGGUGUUGGCCAAUCCAAGAUUUAGUCUGAUCUGAACAAGGAUCAUCCAUCUGAAGAUGAAAUGGCCAGAUAUUCACUCGAACGAAUUGAUGACAGAUCUGUCAACGUCAUCAAGCAAGAAGACCCCAAUGGCGAGAAAACAAGCUACUUGAUGAAGAAAAAAUCGCUUUCCGUGCAAUUCUGAGUUGUGCCAGGUUCGCUGUAGAGGCUGCAACAACGCCCAGAUGUGUGUACACAAGUAUACUUGUAUCUGCCGACGAUAUGCCUACAGAAACUUGUGCAAGCACGUGCACAUUUUAGAUUAUUGGAACCAAACAAAGUACAGCAAGAUGGCACUCGGGAAAGGAAUACCGAAGCAAUAGGUCCUGACGUCUGCAAUCUCUUGACCAACGAGAAUGAUCAACCAAUUCAAGUUACCAGCGUUGACGAAAGCAUUGACUUGAAGAUGUCAAAGUUUCUCGGUGAUUGUUCAAAGUCAAGGAAAAAGUGGAAGAAAUUGAAGUCAUGUUGAUGUCCGAUGAUUUGACCUUCGAGGAAAAGAGGACUCUGAUGGAAAAUUUCCGAUCGCCUUUCGACGGUUCUUUUCCUCCAAUAUUAUUUGUCUCUUUGGUCGUGUUAAUUGCGGAUUAUAACAAUUUGUUCCAAUUCCUCAACACUACGAACGUCAAUCCCUCUUCAUUCCCUCGACUAAGUCGAAAACGUAUUCACAAGCCUCAAAGUCGAGUUUUUUUCCCGGUAAAAACAGCCAAACCAGCAGGUCGCUCUUCCAAAGCAUCACCCAGCACAUCCAACGAGGCCAUCUCUUCUAAUUAAAUGUUCCCUCUUUUUAAGCUUCCUCUUCCUUGA